rnacentral:rRNA from 1 species
CUUCUAGAUGUUCUGGGCCGCACGCGCGCUACACUGAACAGUUCAACAAGUCUUAACCUUGGCCGAUAGGUCUGGGUAAUCUUUGAACGCUGUUCGUGAUUGGGAUAGACCUUUGCAAUUAUGGGUCUUCAACGAGGAAUUCCUAGUAAACGCAAGUCAUCAGCUUGCAUUGAUUACGUCCCUGCCCUUUGUACACACCGCCCGUCGCACCUACCGAUUGAAUGGUCCGGUGAAAUCUCGGGACGGCGGCUUGGUCGCUUGCGUCCGACUGCUGAAACUUGAUUAAACCAUAUCAUUUAGAGGAAGGUGAAGUCGUAACA